rnacentral:rRNA from 1 species
ACUCAAAGGAAUAGACGGGGGCCCGCACAAGCAGCGGAGCGUGUGGUUUAAUUCGAUGCAACGCGCAGAACCUUACCUCGGCUUGACAUGCAGGUGGUACCAACCCGAAAGGGAAGGGACCCGCGAGGGAGCCUGCACAGAUGCUGCAUGGCUGUCGUCAGCUCGUGCCGUGAGGUGUUGGGUUAAGUCCCGCAACGAGCGCAACCCUUGUCCCUAGUUGAAUUCUCUCUAGGGAGACCGCCGGUACAAACCGGAGGAAGGUGGGGAUGACGUCAAGUCAGCACGGCUCUUACGUCGAGGGCUACACACACGCUACAAUGGCCGGUACAACGGGCAGCCAAGCCGCGAGGCGGAGCCAAUCCCACCAAAGCCGGUCUCAGUUCGGAUUGCAGGCUGCAACUCGCCUGCAUGAAGUCGGAGUUGCUAGUAACCGCCGGUCAGCACACGGCGGUGAAUACGUUCCCGGGCCUUGUACACACCGCCCGU